rnacentral:rRNA from 1 species
GACGAACGCUGGCGGCGUGCUUAACACAUGCAAGUCGAACGGAAAGGCCCUGCUUUUGUGGGGUGCUCGAGUGGCGAACGGGUGAGUAACACGUGAGUAACCUGCCCUUGACUUUGGGAUAACUUCAGGAAACUGGGGCUAAUACCGGAUAGGAGCUCCUGCUGCAUGGUGGGGGUUGGAAAGUUUCGGCGGUUGGGGAUGGACUCGCGGCUUAUCAGCUUGUUGGUGGGGUAGUGGCUUACCAAGGCUUUGACGGGUAGCCGGCCUGAGAGGGUGACCGGCAACAUGGGGACGGAGAUACGGCCCAGACUCUUACGGGAGGAAGCAGUGGGGAAUAUUGAACAAUGGGCGGAGGCCGGAGGCAGAAACGCGGCGGGCGGAUGACGGCCUUCGGGUUGUAAACCGCUUUCGCCUGUGACGAAGCGUGAGUGACGGUAAUGGGUAAAGAAGCACCGGCUAACUACGUG